rnacentral:tRNA from 1 species
GGGCCCGUGGUCUAGCCCGGCCAUGACGUCCCCUUGACGAGGGGAAGGUCCCCGGUUCAAAUCCGGGCGGGCCCA